AAGUUUCAUCAACCUAGUUCAGUAGCUGCUUCACAUGCAUAUUUUGAAGAUUUGAUGUUGUGGAUGAACUGUUUUGAUGAGAUUUUAGAUACGAGGAACCUGUGUUUAGCCUGGCAGCUCUGGCUGAAUGGACUGUUUUACGGUUGAAUGCUAUCUAUUGGGUGUACAAUUUUACACCAGAUGAGUUUUCAUAGUUUUCAGAACGAAUUUUGAAGUUACCAAGCUUUUGCUAACUAGUGCUAUGUCAUAGGUUUCUGGCUGUGUAGUUUCAUGAGUUUUCAGGACGAACUUUGAAGCAACCAAACUUUUGCUAACUAGUGCUUUAUCAUAGGUUUCUGGCUGGGCAGUGUUUGAAGGCACGUGUGAGAUUCCAGCCAUGUAGAACUUACGUGCACUGAGCUAAUUAGCUAGCCAGCUAGUCACCAGGGAAAAUAUUUUAGCUACGUUUUUGCAUGUUUGGAUGCCCUUGCAUGCACUUUUCAGCCUUAACAUACACACUAUUUUGCCUUUCAACCAUGUAUAGAAUGUGCAUUGUAGAAGAUUUGUUUUUGGCCGAUUUUAAUGCCCAAUGUUUGAUAAUGUGUUCCGUUUUGGUAAGUGUAAUUUUGCUAGUCUUUAGAGUGAGUUGAGAUGAAUUUAGAGCCUUAUAAAGGGUUCCUGUGACUUCGUUUGAAAUAUGCAGUGAGUGAUUUUGAUGCCAGAGGCCUGAAAGUUAGCACCUUUGAUAGCUCUUUUAACAGGCUCCAUAGGUGUGAAUUACCACCAGUGUGCCCCUCCUAACUUCUUACCUUAGCUAACCAGUCUGCAGAAUUUGUUAAGUUACUUGAUGGAAAGUAUAAAAGUAUAUAUUCUUUUUCUUAGACCAUAUUCACAUACAUCCAAAUACCCCACUGAAUUCAAUUAAGAUAGUGAAAUGUUCUUAAGAAUAUAAUCAAAUAAAAUGUCCUGGGCUUUCUUGCAGAAGGCUACUGACUUAAAAAUAAUUCAUGGUGUUUUGAAUCGGUUGAUGUAUUUAUUUGCACUCCUGUAGUAAUUUACAGUCAUGAAAGCUAAAUUGUGACUUAACUUUUUUCCCCUGUCAGUAGGCUUUUACAGAUUUAUUGACCAGAUGUCCUGGAAGUGCCCCCUGAUGCAGACCCAGUUGUUUGGUAGCCACCCACGCACGUUGACACAGCCCCCAGCAGUGGGCACCCAUGGGGAUGGACCCAGGAGUGGAGGAUGACCCAAUAGGUGGUGGGUAGCCACCCAUGCACGUUGACACAACCAGCAGCGAGUACCCAGGGCGAUGGACCCAGAAGUGGAGGAUGAUCCAAUAGGUGUGAGGAAAAGACGCAUACUAGAGGGAGUCGAGGACUUGGCUGGCCUACAAAAUGUCACUAAGGGAUGCAACUGACAGCUGAAGUAGGAUCUUUUUUGUUUUUUGGCCAUGACAAUGCUUUGACAGUUGAUAAUAAACUGAUAAUUACGAUA